CUUCCUGCUGUUGUGAAUUUGACAUUCAUCUUUUUACUGUGGUGGUGAAUGUUACCGUGUUCAUGAUUGUGAAGUAUUUGCAUGCAGCUUUCCUUAGGCAGUUCUCCUUUUCCAAUCUUAAUGUCCUUCAACACCUGUUCUCUUCCGUGGGACCGACCCACAAGGUCCAGUCCGUCUCUCUGUCACCUCUCUGUUGAAGCCCCUUUCUGUUCGUCCAUCUUUCCGACAGUGAAGAUUUAUUCGGCACUAUUCUCUCACUCUUUCUUUCCUUUUUUUAUUCUUUCUUUCUUUUUUAUGUUCUUUCCUUUCUCCCGCUUCUUCUGCUCUUCUUGUUUGGAGGCACUGAGCCAUCCAGCGGCCGGAGUUCUCCUCUUUCCUCUCGGCCAGCCACCCCGACCCUCUCUCUGACCCCUAAACAUUUCCACAUCCCAGACCAAGGGAUUAACAUGUAUAGAAAACCACCAAUCUACAAACAGCAUGUACCAUUUCACAUCAUAAACUUUUCUCAUUUUUGACUCUUUCUUUAAUCGCUUCCUCACAACCAAUUUGCCCACGGCAAGAAACUAAAAUCCUCCUUCUUUAACAAUUUCCAUAAAACUUCUGAAGAUUCUGAAAAUUGCAUAAGGUUAUUGCCUGCAAGAUCCCAUAACAAAUCCACUGACACCUCAGAUGACUCUGCUUUGGUCUCUAUCUUGCACACGCUGCAAAUCUUCACAUAGUUUCAGUAAACUCAAAGGCACCUUUUGAACAGUUGUGUUUACCGGUUUCAAACUACAGUUCAUAUAUCUGAAUUUCUCUGCUUGCUUAAUAUGAUAAAAAUCUAUACAUUUGCAGUAGCAUGUGUGCUCUAUCCACUUUAUACUGUCCUGCACUAAAUGCAGUAUUGGCCAUUGACAUUCAAAGCUUUUGAUACUGUCUAUGAAUACAGAUUUUUUACACAUAAAAAUCCUGAAAUGCUUUGAACUGAAUGGCCAGCGCUACACUUACUGCCAGCCUGUGAGAGUCUGUCACUGAUAGUCCAGUUCCCCCAAAAUACCGAUUCAGAUUCAGCUGCCCUGGCAGCCCAAAGCAAGUCUGCUGAUGACAUCAUCAAAUCAUCCAAGUUCCCUGCUGCC